UUAAUCUUGUGUAUGAUUAGCUUGGGUUUCAGCUAUCUGAAGUUCAGAAAUGUGGUAGGAUUUAUGAGGAUAAACUUUGUUAGUUUUAAUUAGUAGUCCCAAAGUGAGGCCCCAAGCUACAGUCAGAGAUCCUUUGAAAGCAGGGAAUAAACUGACAGGUGUGGUUGAAACAACAGGUCACGUGUGAAAUUGGCUGUUACUUAAGCAAGCAGAAUGCUUGUGCAACAUAUUUGCUUUGUGCAGUGCAGCAGGAACGAAACCCAGGGAUUCUUUUUCUGGCCUGCAGAGGAGACAAAAGCAACAUGAACACUGCAGGAAAAGUAAGCAAAAACAUUUCACUGUUGGAAGUUUAUUCUCAUUCAUAUAAUACAUAAAAUGAUACAGAUAUGAUGAAUAAUCUAAAACCAAUAUCUGCAUUAGACAUAGUGUACAGUGAAAUACAAUAUGCAAUAUAUACUAUAAUAUAUGAGGAAUACUGAACUACAGUAGAAAUAAACUUUUCUAGAAUAUCAUUGAUGAGAAUGUAAAGAAUCUGGAACUAAUAAAUAGUAUUUCCUACAUUGAA